CCGUUUGAACACGAGAGGAAAAGUGUGUCUGAAACGUCGAGAAAACUAACGGAAAAGUAAAAUAUUUACACGAAUAUGCAACACGAAGAUGACUUUGUGUUUACGGUUCAACAUUGGAUCUUGACUUCACCCUGUCAUGAACACAUAGAGUGUUGCAAACAUGAAUAGCUUCUUCACUCAUGAAGCAUCUACAGUAUGAAGACUUUCCAUCAUUAGCCUCUUUUGGAAGAAGAUGUGACACCGGCUGACUCGGAUCCUGUGACUGAGAUUUGCUUCUAUGGAACCAGGAUGAUGAUGGAUGCUCUGCUGCUACGUCAUGGAGACCAGCCUGAAGAUGGAAGAGUUCAAGCACGUGUUCAGAGGGAUGAUGGUUUUUCUCGGCUUCAGUUACUGGAACAUUUUCCAUCAACCCCGACUGGAAGAGCAGAGUUCAUCCUGUUGCUCCACCUGCUGAACCAACGACGUGUCCCAGAGACACUGCAGUUUGACACCCCCCUCGUCCUGAAAUGACCCUCCACCACAACAGCUAUAACACAAAACCGGUGUUUCCUUUGGCUGUGACCUGAAUCCUGUCUCUGCUGCUAAAACAAAUCUACAGAGAAUUAAACGGGUGAGAUCAGUUUCCACUUUCAGCCAACAGUAGUCAAUUCAAGGCCUCUGGUCAUUUACCUACAUCAGAUCCAGUUAAAAUCAGACAAAACUUGCACUGACAUUAAUCCCAUAGUGUUUUACAACGUCAUCACCAUGAAUAUAAAACAACAGCGCUCUGAUGUACAGACAUGAACACACCAUGAAACGAAACAAAUCAGUGACACCUGGUUUAACCUGAAGGUGUUGGUUUAAAAAAUAGACAAAAUUACAAAUGAUGUACGACCCAGUUCAGCUGCUUGGAUGACUGGUGUGCUUCUUUUUUUUUUUUCCUUGUGUAAUUUGUGGAAAACACAGGAGUAUCUACCGUCUGUUGUUUAAUGUAUAGAACAUCUGCAACCACUGGCAAAACUUAUACAAUCGCCACGUAGAGCUGAUCUAACAUCAGCUGCUGGGUUGAUGAAACACACGAUUUGUCAGGUGGUUCAGUAAAGGACCAUUAGUGUAGAGUAUUUUUGUUUUUCUUCAUGAUUCCAUAAUAUUUUCCUCUGCUUGAUCAAAAAAGCAAUUAUGAUUGACUACAACAAUUACAUUUUUUUAAUCUGUUUUAAAGCUAGAAUGUUGACAAAAUAAUAUUUUUUCUGCAAAAAAAUUAAACAAUUCCAUCAUGUUUCCUAGGGGUUGUGCAUAUUCAGUAGCUGUGGUUACUUGGACGGUACCUCUGUCUGAUUAGAUAUUUCAUCGUAACUACGUCUUAAUAUAUAUUGCGUUUCCAUUCACCAAACCGAUUAGAGCUUCUCUGACAUGUGUCAAGUGGUUCUACCUGCUGUGAAGAAUCUAAUCUCUUGGGGGGAAGAGGAUUAAUUUCUGUCCGUAUUGUUUGGUGAAUUAAGUGACUGACAGGCUACAAUAUUUUAAGAUUAAGAUUUUGAUGUCUGCAACUACAGCAGUUGAGUUUUUCCACCCAUAUGUUCGUGUUCCCCCUCGGACCCUAGUUUUACUUCCACAUGGGACAAACAUGAGCAGAAACAGCAGAUUUAUGCCAACCGGAGUCAGAUGAUCCAAUUAAAUGCUGUUGUACUCAAUUAAGUCCUUAAUUGUCCUUAAAAUUGAUAAUUAAUCCUUACAUCUGACACUCAAAGGUCUUAAAAACCCCACAGAAACAAUAAAACAUAUUUGCUAUAUUUCCUUUGUAAGUCUUGGUACAGAAUUAGUCUUUAUAAUCAGUGUCAAUCAUUUUAUCCAAACAGAUGGGAAUGAGUGGAGACUCAACGGUCAUUCAUGGGUGGAGGGUUCAGGUAUGAGCUUCAGCAGCAGUAACACAAACACUAUUCAUGGACAAAUGGAACAUUAGUGGAUUGAAACGUGGAUAAACCUUAGAUGCACAAGUUGGUCAAAAAUUACCCUUUGAGCCUGUUUUUUUUUUUUUUUUUUUUUGCAAUGAAAAGUUGUUUCAUAUUCCAGGUAUUCCUUAAAAAUAUAUUAUUUACAUUUUAAACUUUUGUAGAAUUUUUUUUUUUUAACUGUAUUUUUUGUAUUACUACUCACACCUUCCUUAGGUGGGUCAACCUGAACCUUUUGAUUCAUUCUACAGCAAAACCAAAGGACUCACUAAAUGGAUGUUGAUAUUGUUCUAUUGCUGUUAUACACUAUAUAAUGUAUACUAUAUAUACUUUGCUUUUAAAAUUGUCAGAAUAUUUGAAAGAUAUUUUACAAUUGUUUAAAAAAAAUCAAACUUGAAAUCAUUCUUUUAUGGACCAAAAUAUAUUACAAAUUAUUUUCAACAUGACAAAGUGACGAAAGUGACAUAAAAACACAUUGAUUUUAACACGGGUCAUAUUUGACUCAUUUAUGGAAGAAUGGUGGGUGCAGACACUGGUGCAUCUAAGGGGUCAGACUGGUUCAACACUAACUGUGAGGCCUGUCGGACUGUUUAUGUGAAUGGAUGGUCUGAAAUUAAACAGACGCUUUAAAGCUGUACAUUUGAAUUGCUCACAGCUGUACCAUCCUUAAGUUUCCCCCACCUGUGGUUGUGUUCGAUUCUUUCUGCUCAGACGUGGAUACAGUGUUUUUAUUCUAAUUGGCCUGUUACAUUAGUGGAAUACUGGGGUCCAUGAAACACAUUUGUUUGAGGCUUGAACUUUUUUCUGUAUCUGUUAAAAUCGUCUUAAAU